CACGUAGGAUCCGAGCGUUAUCCGAAUUUACUGGGCGUAAAGCGCAUGCAGGCGGUUCGCUAAGUUGGGCGUGAAAUCUCCCGGCUCAACUGGGAGGCGUCGUCCAAAACUGGCGGGCUGGAGUACGGUAGAGGGAGGUGGAAUUCCCGGUGUAGUGGUGAAAUGCGUAGAGAUCGGGAGGAACACCAGUGGCGAAAGCGGCCUCCUGGACCGUGACUGACGCUGAGAUGCGAAAGCUAGGGGAGCGAACGGGAUUAGAUACCCCCGUAGUCC
rnacentral:rRNA from 1 species